CUACGGGGUGCAGCAGUGAGGAAUAUUGCACAAUGGGGGGAACCCUGAUGCAGCAACGCCGCGUGGAGGAUGACGCAUUUCGGUGUGUAAACUCCUUUUAUAUGUCAAGAAAAUGACGGUAGCAUAUGAACAAGCACCGGCUAACUCCGUGCCAGCAGCCGCGGUAAUACGGAGGGUGCAAGCGGUACUCGGAAUCACUGGGCGUAAAGGACGCGUAGGCGGGUUGGAAAGUCAGGUGUGAAAUCCUACAGCUUAACUGUAGAACUGCACUUGAAACUUCUAAUCUAGAGUAUGGGAGGGGGAGAUGGAAUUAGUGGUGUAGGGGCAAAAUCCGUAGAUAUCACUAGGAAUACCUAAAGCGAAGGCGAUCUCCUGGAACAUUACUGACGCUAAGGCGUGAAAGCGUGGGGAGCAAACAGGAUUAGAUACCCCAGUAGUC
rnacentral:rRNA from 1 species